rnacentral:rRNA from 1 species
CUUGAACAGGUGCUGCAUGGCUGUCGUCAGCUCGUGUCGUGAGAUGUUCGGUUAAGUCCGCUAACGAGCGCAACCCUCGCUGUGUGUUACAAGUGUCACACGGAACUGCCGGGUCAUAAACCGGAGGAAGGUGGGGAUGACGUCAAGUCAUCAUGGCCUUUAUGUCCAGGGCGACACACGUGCUACAAUGGCCGGCACAGCGGGAAGCGGAGGGGCGACCCUGAGCGGAUCCCUUGAAAGCCGGUCCCAGUUCGGAUUGCAGUCUGCAACUCGACUGCAUGAAGUUGGAAUCGCUAGUAAUCGCGGAUCAGCCAAGCCGCGGUGAAUACGUUCCCGGGCCUU